rnacentral:rRNA from 1 species
GUGGGGGAUAUUGCACAAUGGAGGGAACUCUGAUGCAGCAACGCCGCGUGAGGGAAGAAGGUCUUCGGAUUGUAAACCUUUGUCCUCAGGGAAGAUAAUGACGGUACCUGAGGAGGAAGCUCCGGCUAACUACGUGCCAGCAGCCGCGGUAAUACGUAGGGAGCAAGCGUUGUCCGGAUUUACUGGGUGUAAAGGGUGCGUAGGCGGAACUGCAAGUCAGUGGUGAAAUCUGAGGGCUCAACCCUCAAACUGCCAUUGAAACUGUGGUUCUUGAGUGAAGUAGAGGUAGGCGGAAUUCCCGGUGUAGCGGUGGAAUGCGUAGAGAUCGGGAGGAACACCAGUGGCGAAGGCGGCCUACUGGGCUUUAACUGACGCUGAGGCACGAAAGCAUGGGUAGCAAACAGGAUUAGAAACCCUUGUAGUCC